GUUUGAGUGAGGAGCAAAAGGAACCUUAGAAGGAAGAUCUAAAGUUGGUUGUAUGUCUUGGUUUAGCUCUGGCUGAAGAGGAGCAGGAAUACAGAGACAGAACUCAUAAAAGUGGAGGCAGGAGAGCAGUACCUUUGGAGUUGGGUUCGAAUAAAUGCUCAGAAGUGAGAUAGAAAGAAACCAAAGGGAACGUAUCCCUUUCAAAACUUUUUCAAAUGGCUUCACAGUGCUGGAAUCACUUGAAACUGAACUUAUUCCUUUUCACUACCUGGAAUGCCCAGCAGUAAGAUGUUGUGUUAACCUAAUGGAGUUGAGGCCUAGGUAUGGAUGCCCAGCGACAUUCAAGCCAUUACUCCUCCUUGCCCGUUAUUCACAAACGUUUGUAGUAAAACAUUUCAUUGCACUUAUUAAUUUGUAAUAAGUAAUGGUAAGGUGGGUAUUGCCUUACUCAAGAUGAAUAUGAAGGGGAAAAGACAUUGAGUAACAAUUGUCAUUACAAUGAUAUUGCCUUGAAUAACAAACAGAAGCUAUCAGAAUUCACCAAAUAAUUGAUAGUGCACCAGGCUGCAUAAUUUCCUAAGGCUGCUUGCUUUGUCCAUAUGAGCCUUAGAAAAAUGAGAGUUC
rnacentral:lncRNA from 1 species